CUUUGCAGUGGCUGGCCCGGUCAAAGUGCCCGGACAAGCAGGGUUGCCAAGGACGCAGUUGGGUGUGUAGUAGUGCUGCCGUAGUCCGAGGAGCGGCACUUGCUCGGGGUAGUUGGGGGUAGCUGACGAGCCGACGAGGAGAGGGUUGGUACCGCCGGCACCGCGGAUGGGUGCUGUUGGAGCUGGGGGGCGGCAGGUGAGGAGGUUUGUGCCGUUGGGGUGGAGUCCGGUGGCGGUGCAGGUGGGGCGGCUUGGGCCGUUGGGGAUUAGGGGGCCGGAGGUUAGGGUGCUACAGUUCGGGAUUGGGAUUGGGGCAGGGGCGGGGGCGGGGGCGGGGAGGCCAGCAGGACGGCGGCUACGGGGGACGAGGCCAUAGGAAGCGGGGAAGGAAGGCCGGCGACCCACGUGGCGGGGGCGGCGUCCACGUCGUCAUGCCACGAUAUGCAUUAGGCCCGAUGGACUACCCUGUCGGCUACGUCGGCGGUCCGCACGUGGUGCACUACGCAGGCGGCUUGUACAUGCGCGGGGUCGGCCCAGGCAUGUACGUCGUCGGCCCGCAGCGGCAAGGAGGGCCACACGUAGCAAUAGGACCUGGUAUGUGAUACUACGCAGGUACAAAAGGAGGUGCGGGUUACGGAGGACAACCACAACACGUUCAAGUUGCCGGUCGUUGUUAAGGACCUUAAGCACCACGAGGAGGAUACCAUCGGGGAGGACGGUCUGGCGGACGAGGUCGACAGUGUGGGCAACUGUUUGGUGGUUGACGUCAAAUACAGCCCUUCUAGCGGGGUUGUCACCUGUUACCAAACGAAGAAAGUGAAGAAGCCUAAACACCUGGACAGUUCUCAACCUUCGCGUGGGUUUUAGGUUCAUUACCGUUUGGUCAUCGCAAACCGAAAACACUCAAACUUAGACGACUUCCGUAGGAAGCACGCUGCGCCAACGACUUGUCUAACUCGCAACUACCCGUUCUUGACCACCAAUUAUAAUUACUACGGUGGUUUCUCAUGGACUUCUUUGUACAACUUCUUUUCUUCUUCCAUGUACUCUUGUGGUUUUUCCUCCUUCUACUUCCACCCCUACCCUGAAGACGACAACGACUUUUACUUAGUAACUUCGAACAAAGACCAUUUUGUCUACUUUGUCUUCUAAGGCCUCUAUUCCUAUCACUUCUUUUGUGGUUCUUUAAACCCUAACAAUGUUUACUUCUAAGACUCCGACUAUUCCGACGACGUCUUGAUUAUUUGUCAUAAUAACUUCUCACCAAUUUCUGAGCUGGGGACGGCGGCGGUGGUGGUGGGGGCGGCCAAGUUGGUAGACGACUGUAGAGUAGGUUUGUAUUAUUGCCCCUCAGACAACAGCUGUACCGUUACUGACUAAGACUUCUAUUACUACUAACACAACUGUUUUUCUGUCAAUCACUUUGACUUUUCUGUCUUUUACUGAGAGAACUAUCCUCCUUUCUAUUUCUCGUACUAUUCCUCUUCGUCCUUUUCCUUUUUCUUGAAGUUUCUAUACUCGCACUCGCACUCGCUCUUUCUCAGUCCUCCCUAUCUCUAUUUCUUGAGUUCGUAUCUCUUCACCUUUCCGACAUGUUUCUAGUGGAAUUUCUCACCCUUAGGUCCCUCUCUCUAUUUCUUAUAGUUUCUGUUAUACUCUUCCUGGCACUCUUCCUUUUUCUUGCACUUGCGUUUUCCCUCUAGUACUUCGUCCUUCUACUUUCGCUGCUUCUCCUAAGCUCCUUUUCUUCUGCCUCCUCGUCAUUGCGUGAACUUCUCUCCUUUUCCGCCUCCGUUGCGCUUUUCGUCCUUCUGAACCGCCUGUUUAAUUUUCUCCUUGUCCUUUAACGACUUCGUUCCUCCGCACGUUAUCUCGACGUUGUCGUCCGUCUACUUCGUCGACGCCGUCUCAGACGAUAUAAAUACCUCCAACUACCACUACUGGCCUUCCUUCGUCUACGUGGUUUGUUCGGCUAACAAAGUCUACUACUAUUACAACAGUCGUAACGAUUACCACAACUACGUCUACUACCGUUUUGAGUAUUCCUGACAUUGCCACUACUUCGUUCAUACCAUGGACCAGUUUAAGAUCUAUAGUUUGUUUUAUCGUUACGAGGUCGUUUUUUCAACCCAAAACCAAACUAACCGAGACCAUUUGCCUGUAGACAAGGUAGUCAAAAACGACUUCUCCUACUGCUACUAUUAUUCCUAUUUGCCUAUUCUGGAAAUCAUGGAUAACUAAUGAGGUGACUCCUUAACGUUCGACACCUCCGCCUAAGAAUAAGACUGGUUGGAUUAUUAUAACAUCGUCGACGACUCAAACGAUUCGCGUAGAACCAUAGAUUAGUUUUCCUUCUCGUCGGACUUUGGCUUUCCUCAUCCUCUCGGUAACUAUCUAGCUGGGAUUCCCUAUUUUCAGCUUUACUACUUCUACCACGUGCAGAACCACUACUGUCUUCUCUUUACUACGUACUAGCUCUGCUACUAUUCGGGUUCAAUCUCUUGUUCUUUCAAAACCUACGUUUUGUUAACUAACUGUACUAAGGCUCCUGUUUCCUUCUCGAAAAAAGGAUACUAUAAUUAACCCGUUAUAUACUCUUCGUACUCAACGUACUAUCUUACUCCGGAACCUAGAGCUUUUUCUAUUAACUUAAAGAACCACUCCUCCUUAGCUGAAACCACCUUAUAUAACAGAGCACGUGGUUUCUAGUACAGGUACGUAGCUUUUACGACCUCGAGGAUAGCAGCUAAAACCUGCAGCUCCGACUUUACAAACAGGAAUUCUACACCUCCUACGAUUAUAAACUUUAAUUCUUUCAACUUCGUCCUGAUAGUCAUUCUCCCUUCCGAAUUUCAACUCCGUUGACAGAACAUAUUGUAAAAGACGAAAAACAGACGUUGACAAAAGAAUGAAGAUUCGAAUACAACAUUCUGUCGACGACAUUUGUAAAGUCACUCUAGCUUAAUGACCAAGGGUAUACAAGACUACAGAUAACAUCUUUACAUAUGUACUUGACAACUACGAGUUAUAAACUAGACUUUAACAACGC
rnacentral:rRNA from 1 species